rnacentral:misc_RNA from 1 species
GAGAGAGAGAGAGAGAUGGGAUUCCCUGGGCAUCCAAAGAUAAUAGAAACAAUACUAAAGUAUAUAAAAAAUAAUGCACCACAAACCCCGAGGGAACUGUAAAGUGUAAAUCAUUUUAAACACAAAUUAUUAACAUCCAACACAUGUAAAAUAUCUUCAUUUAAGGCAAGUAUAACAAGGCAAGUGAUUUAACAUAACCCAAAUCAGGAAACUGUUAAACUAGGGCUCUACUCCAGAAUCAACAUAAAUCAACAAAACCUAGAUAUGACCUGUUUUUGUCCAAUUCCAUUGAAGCACUACUCUGACCAAGCAGUAUAAACACUUUAAACCAGAAGGGGUAUGCCUUUUAGGAAUAACAUGACUUUAACGCAGAUGGACACAGGAUGAGAAUAGUCUGGACAUGUUCACAGCUUCAGAUCAAAUAGUUGAUUCUUAAUAAAUGGCUAGCAAAGAACCAACAGAUGCAUAUAUAGAGAAAUGAUAUUUACUUUCACAGAAGGAUGAAUCAAUGCUCUUGUGGAUGUGUUAUGCGCAUCCAAAACAGUAUAAAUGGCUUAAAAACUAUUAUCAAAGUAUGAAGAAAGUGAUACCAAUAACCAGAUGCAUAAAAUUUAAAUUGAACUCACAUAUCAACUUCGUUGAAUGUAGU